CAGACACACAACCAGAAGCACUGCACUCCAACAAUGAAUGCCCCACUUCCAGAAAUCAUGUGUCCAGCUUGGAUGGCCGAACACUUCACAGUCCAGUGGAUGAGACAGUCAGGUAUCCAGGCAACGACAAUAUAAGAAAUGAUGGCAGGCGCUCCCUACAGCAUGUCAGAUGAGGACUCCCUUCACAUUUGGCUGUCAUCUAUCAGCCACAACUGUCCUGUCCAGAAGAGCUGGCUUUGGUUUUAAAGCCUGCUUCCUGGCUGGGCUUCAUCACUCCAUUAAGGAUACCACUUGGUAUCACAUGAACUUCAGGUGUUGUUGAUGAAAUUGCUAAAGGAGCUGGAUGGGACUGACGUCUUUGGAGAGGACAUGACUUAGCGUACCCAUGCAGUUGUUGUGUCCAAAUGCUGUUCUUUCCUCCCCAUGGGAAGGUAUUGUAAAUAAAGAGAAAGGGCACUAGCUUAUUUUAAACACCAAAUAUGAGCUGGGAGCUGUCCUAGGCACUAUAUAAAAACCGUAUUUUGUUCUCAUAGUAUAUUGUCCUGAUGUUAGAAUCCCAUUUUAUAGACUGAGGAAAUUAUGGCUCAGAGAAAUUAGGAGACUGAAACAAGGACACAGCUCUACAGUUUUUUUGUUGAGCUUGAAUCUGAACACAGACCUGUGUGACUUUCAAUCUUGUGCUUUUUAAACUAUAGGAAUAGUUGGCCAGCCCAGUGGCUCAGGCGGUUAGAGCUCCAUGCUCCUAACUCCGAAGGCUCCCGGUUCAAUUCCCACAUGGGCCAGUGUGCUCUCAAUCACAAGGU